rnacentral:misc_RNA from 1 species
GAUGAAGAACGCAGUGAAAUGCGAUAAGUAGUGUGAAUUGCAGAAUUCAGUGAAUCAUCGAAUCUUUGAACGCACAUUGCGCCCUUUGGUAUUCCAAAGGGCAUGCCUGUUCGAGCGUCAUUUGUACCCUCAAGCUUUGCUUGGUGUUGGGCGUCUUGUCUCUAGCUUUGCUGGAGACUCGCCUUAAAGUAAUUGGCAGCCGGCCUACUGGUUUCGGAGCGCAGCACAAGUCGCACUCUCUAUCAGCAAAGGUCUAGCAUCCAUUAACCCUUUUUUCAACUUUUGACCUCGGAUCAGGUAGGGAUACCCGCUGAACUUAAGCAUAUCAAUAAGCGGAGGA